rnacentral:rRNA from 1 species
UACGGAGGGUGCGAGCGUUGUCCGGAAUCACUGGGCGUAAAGGGCGCGUAGGUGGCACGGGUAGUCGUCGGUGAAAGCUCAGGGCUCAACCCUGAGUCGGCCGGUGAUACUCCCGAGCUCGAGUGUGGUAGAGGCCAAUGGAAUUCCGGGUGUAGCGGUGGAAUGCGUAGAGAUCCGGAAGAACACCGGUGGCGAAGGCGGUCUGCUGGGCAGUUGCUGACACUGAGGCGCGACAGCGUGGGGAGCAAACAGG